rnacentral:rRNA from 1 species
GACGAACGCUGGCGGCGUGCUUAACACAUGCAAGUCGAACGGAAAGGCCCUGCUUUUGUGGGGUGCUCGAGUGGCGAACGGGUGAGUAACACGUGAGUAACCUGCCCUUGACUUUGGGAUAACUUCAGGAAACUGGGGCUAAUACCGGAUAGGAGCUCCUGCUGCAUGGUGGGGGUUGGAAGGUUUCGGCGGUUGGGGUUGGAGUCGCGGCUUAUGAGCUUGUUGGUGGGGUAGUGUCUUACCAAGGCUUUGCCGGGUAGCCGGCCUGGGAGGGUGACCGGGCACAGUGGGACGGAGGUACGGCCCGGACUGCUACGGGAGGCAGGAGUGGGGAAUAUUGCGCACUGGGCGGAAGCCGGGUGGAGCAACGCCGCGUGCGGGAUGACGGCCGUCGGGUUGUAACCCGCUUUCGCGUGUGACGAAGCGUGAGGGACGGUAAUGGGUAAAGAAGCACCGGCAAACUACGG